AGCGGGGUAGAGAAAUUGGUCAACUCAUCAUGUUCAUGACCUGAAGACAGCAUGUUCGAAUCCUGUCUCGGCCU
rfam:Oryza nivara chromosome 1, whole genome shotgun sequence.